GCUGCACAAUUAAUCCGAUUUUGGCCACAAUUAAAUUCACCUGAUCGUCAACGAUAUUUACAUUCAAAGUGCUCUGCCAACCACCAGGAGGCCAACGCAAGGCCAAAGCUUCAUUAAGCUGCCUAAAUAACAAGGGCGCAGUAACACACCCCUUUAACAGCCGGCAGCUGGUUGUACUCAGUGCUGCCAACUAGGGCUGCAACGAUUAGUCGACGUUGUCGACAGUAAAAAUAGUCAUCAAUGAAUUUAGCCGUCAACUAUUGUCUGCAAAA